rnacentral:sRNA from 1 species
UUUUUUGUAAAUCUUUUAAAACCCUUUUAAAAUCCCAUGUAAUUCAUUUAAAACCCUUUCAAAAUCCCUUGUAAAUUUUUUAUCGAAUUUUUUUGGCGAAAAAAUUUUGGCGGGAAAUUUAUUUUGGAAUAUUUUAAGCGAAAAAUAUGAAUAUUUUAUUUUGUUAACAUAAAACAAUUUCCAAAUAGGGGUAAAAUGGUCAUUAAAAAUUUAAAGAGGGUAGAAAUGAAAAUGGCUAAAAAAGGGUAGAGUUGAAAAGGGACAUCAUGAAAAGAGCAUUAGAAAGAAUUUUUCUUUAAUAAAUAUCAUGUCAUACUAAAAUUGUAAGAGUAAUAUGUGAUUGUUAUGUAAGUGAAGAUGGUGGUUAUAGAUGGUGUAGAAAAAAAUAUUAUAUUAUAUAAUUUAUAUGAUAUAUUUUUGUUUCUUAAAGUUAGUAAU